AAAAGAAAAGAAGAAGAAAACUGGUUGGUGGUCAACCAUGAUAAUUCAUUUUCUCUUUUCUUUUUCUUUUCUUUCUUUUCUUUCUUUUUGCUUGUUUGUUCUCUU
rnacentral:ribozyme from 1 species